GGCUGCGAUCAUACCAGUAAUAAAGCUUCGGAUCCCAUCAAAACUCCGAAGUUAAGCGUGCUUGGGCAAGAGUAGUACUAGAUGACUCCCUGGGAAGUCCUCGUGAUGCACUCC
rnacentral:rRNA from 15 species